rnacentral:rRNA from 1 species
UUGUCGGCGACCGGCGCACGGGUGAGUAACGCGUAUCCAACCUGCCCAUAACUAAGGGAUAACCAGCGAAAGUUGGACUAAUACCUUAUGUAUUCGUUUGAUCUCAUGAGAUUACGAAUAAAGAUUUAUCGGUUAUGGAUGGGGAUGCGUCUGAUUAGCUUGUUGGCGGGGUAACGGCUCACCAAGGCAACGAUCAGUAGGGGUUCUGAGAGGAAGGUCCCCCACAUUGGAACUGAGACACGGUCCAAACUCCUACGGGAGGCAGCAGGU